GGUUGUUUUUGGUUGUUCGGAGUUAGAAGUAGCAUGGUUUGUCACUUGAUUAUUCACUCAAAAAUGAUUGACUUAUAAAUUUAAGAAAGCAUAACAUUUAUUUAAGGCUGAUAUCAAUUUAGCUUAAAAUAGUACUUUUGUGCUUGACUUCGGUUUUUUAACUGUCUUCGUGAAACAACUUAAAAGAGGAAUCUAUCAAUGGGACGAUUUUCACAACUAAGAUAAUUCACUUCUUUAUUCAGUUUGAAAACCUAACCGUUACAACCCCACACCAGUAGGGGGCCGCUGCUCUGAGCAGACCGAUUCCCCCGUUAGAAGAAGAGAAAGCCACAGGACGGACCACGCGGCUCAGCUCACGGAGAGAUGAAUCCGGAUGGAGACAUUUGAGGAGAAGAUGGAUUAUCUGCUCAUGCUCUACAGGAGUCCAUGUCACCUCGCUCUGCUCCAAAUCCCAGCGUGCCAUUUGCCCAACAGCAGCUGGGCCAAAUAUCCAGUUAAAAAAUAUGGCUGUGUACAGAUUCCUACGCCAAAGCUGUGGACCGGUGUCGGCGGCCUGAGGGACACCAGCAUCCAGACAGAAGAUGAAGCAAGUGUCCAAAAAAAGGCAGCGCCGACGCCCCAGGAGGUUCAUGACAGAUUCUUCAAGCGAUGAUGAAUCUGUUGCACGACCAGAUAAACUGUCCAGGACGGAGCGUGCGUCUGGAAGCCCUGUCUGGAAGUUA